GCAGAGUUGAGAACCACUGAAUUCUGUUCUGAAAACAUCAGCAAGACCUUUCAUGGAUAUUAUAGGCUUCAGGCUCGAGACAGAGAGGAACCGCCUCUGUGUUUUUCACUGUCGUGUCUCAGUGCUGGGAGUGUACUCCAUGUGGUCAGUGUGUGAUCAAUUUAACUGUGCCUGAGGGUUCUGAGAAGACCUCACAAAUGAAGGUACCUUUGACCAGAGCCACGGAGAGGGGACAAGAGUUUACCCACCAGGCGCUGCAAAGCUGAGGUGGCAGGUCAGGACUUCCAGUGAGAAGGAGGUACUGGUAAAGGAGACUGUUAUUAUGAGCAGCUCCGUCCAGGAGAAGCCAGGGUUCCUGGUCCAAAACAGCACCCUAGGUUCAAAUAGGAAUACCCUGGGGUUGGAGGUGAGGGAAGGGUGGUGGACAGCUCACUCAGCUAUCAGAAGCUGAGGGAUAAGUCCCCUUCCUCCAAUCUGGGCUUUCUUAGCAGCCUUUUGAGCUGGAAUUUGUUUUGUUUUGUUUUGUUUAUGGUGGGACCUACCCACUGUGCAGGGAGGAUCUUAUCAGGUGGCCAAGCUUGUUUUUUGUUUGUUUGUUUUGAGAUGGAGUCUUGCUCUGUUGCCCAAGCUAGAGUACAGUGGUGUGAUCUCGGCUCACUGUAACCUCUGCCUCCUGGGUUCAAGCAAUUCUCCUGCCUUAGCCUCCCACGUAGCUGGGACUACAGGCGUACACCACCAUGCCCAGCUAAUUUUUGUAUUUUUAGUAGAGACGGGGUUUCACCAUGUUGGCCAGGAUGGUCUCGAUCUCCUGACCUCAUGAUCUGCCCAUGUAGGCCUCCCAAUAAGCCUGGUUUUUGGAACAAUACAAAUAAUGAAAAUUUUAAGUACUGACAUUUAUUGAGCUCCUAUUGUACUAUUUUACACACAUCUGGUUUAAGCCACAGCCACUGCACAAGAUUGGCAUUUUUCCCCAUUUCCAGAGGCUGAAACUGAGAUUGAGUUUCAUGUCCAAAGAGUGAGUAACAUGUGUAAAGUCAUGGGGCUAGGAAGUGGUGGAUGGAGUUUCAAACCCAGCUGUGUUUGACCCUGAAGCCAGGGCGCUAAACCACAAUCUUUUUUCUGGCCAGUGUAUCUCACAGGUGAAUCAAUUCACUGGGUUUGGCGCAUUCCCUUGUGGGCUGAGUCACCAUAAGUCAGACUGCCUGAACCUGUUCCUCUCUGGGAGGCUGAUAGAAACCUAAUCUCUAAACUGACAAUGCCAGGGGCAGGACUCUGGACUUUGGUAACCCCAUGAUGGGGUGGCUCCCUACUCUCCCACUCAGAGCUGCAGAUAGCUUUUCUCCAGGACAGCAGGACUCAAGGGUGCUAUGGGGGUUAGUUAUUGCAGACAUCUUGCUUUGCUUUGCUGUAGAGUGGGGUGGCUAAGAGCUUGGGUAGAGGCAGACAGACUGGUUUGAAAUCCAGCCUUUGCACUUCGUAGCUGUGUGACCUUAGCUUGGGCAAGUUUCUUUACCGCUCUGUGCUUCAACUCUCAUCUUUAAAAUGAGGCUGAGAACAGUCUCAUGGUGCUACUGUGAGGAUUACGUGAAAAAACGCGCUUGCACAUAGCAAACCCUCAGCAAUCAUUAGCCUUUAUCAUUGCUGUUGUUGUGACUGGUAUAUAUAUAUAUACUUUUUUUUUUUUUUUGAGUGGAGUUUCACUCUUGUCGCCCAGGCUGGAGUGCAAUGUCGCAAUCUCGGCUCACUGCAACCUCCGCCUCCUGGGUUCAAGUGAUUCUCCUGCCUCAGCCUCCCGAGUAGCUAGGAUUACAGGCAUGCACACCACGCCCGGCUAAUUUUGUAUUUUUAGUAGAGAUGGGGUUUCACCAUGUUGGCCAGGCUGGUCUCAAACUCCUGACCUCAGGUGAUCCACCCGCCUCGGCCUCCCAAAGUGCUGGGAUUACAGGAGUGAGCCACUGCACCCCGCCUGUUGUGAAUAGUCUUAAGGGGAGGCGUAGUGGGAUGUAAUGGGCUGGAGUCCUAGGCCACCACUUUUUAGCCAUGUGACCUUUGAGAUGAACUAUUAAACUUCAUCCCAGAAUCUUUCUAAAUUCUCCAAAGUUAAAGAUGAGAUUUAAUAGCUCAUCUAUUAAAGAUUUCUGGGAUGGCAUUCUUAAAAUUAAGAUUAGCUUCUGUUAAGGAAUUAGAAAACACCAGAGGUAGGGAAUGGUCCCUGUCACAUAUAGACAGCAUUUGCCCUAAACCAUGCUCUGGUCAAGAGGAGGCUGAGGACUUCUGAGCCAUUUGCCUCUCAUCAGAACGUCCUGGGUGUAGUGUCAGAGAGUGGCUGUAUUGGCUUGUCUGAACAGCUAGUGUGUUGCUUUGGUUUGAGCUGAAAGAUUGUUCUAACAAAGGUGCAUGGUGACUAUGGUCAGCAUAGGCGUUAGGAGAGGAGGGGCCGUCUGUGCACACUGUCCUGGGUGUGCCCAUCCUCAGGAGCUCAGCUGUGUAGUGUGUGGCAGCCUGUCCCCCUGACUCCCGCCGGUGAGGUUCACAGAUGGUCAGAGCUCCCAGGUGCGGCUCUAAAGCUCUGGCUCUGCUGCCGUGGCCCCAGGCAACCUGGCUGGCUCAUGGGCUUCAGCUUCUCACAUGUGGAAGAGCACAGAUCAUCCUUCACCCCAGUAUCCCGGUAGCUGACCUCAGACUUUCUGAGUGUGAGUUGACUUGAGUAGCCCUGAGAUGCUGACGUCCUCUGAGUACAUCAACAACAGGGAGUUUCUGGGCUGCAGGCUGAGAACCCGUGUUUGUCACAAGGCGGCCCCACAGAGUUACCACCACUCUAAGGCCCUGCCAGAGCCAGCAACAGAUUAUUCCAGAAGGCACCUGUCUCCCAAUCACCUUCUCUAUCUGGAACAACACCUCCCUCAGGGUUGGGUAAAGUAUUAAAUAUCUGUGCCUUGCAUACACUCACUCAGUGCUCAACAAAUGCUGGUUCUUUCCCAGUUUCUGUAAUCUGUAUGACCUAUCUUGACCAAGAGAUUGUCAUCAUCCUGAGGCCCGGGGCCCAGGCUGCUGUUGCGCUGGCCUCUCUCCCUCACUCUCCAGUAAGCCCUGUCCCAGGCUGGCCUCUCCCUCCGGGGCUGUCUUAUCCACGCUUGGGCUCCAACCACCUUGACCCUUCUCCACCUGUCAGUCACGCCCCAGGUGUUCCCUGAGUCACGCAACAGCUAUAUAGUAGCUCCGCAGACCAACAGCAGGCCGACAGCGUAGCACCUGAGUUCUAGAUCUACCACUGUUCAUGCGGGACCUGGCAUAAAGCAUUCCCACGUCUCGGCCUCCAUUUCCCCAUCUGUGAAACGAGAGCACUGGUCAGCUCUUCACAUGCAGCGUUUGUGGGAUGAAUCCUUCCAUCUGUCCAUCCAUCCCGCCAACAUCCAUGCACAAACAUUUAGCACCUGCUGCAUGCUGUCAGGGACUAUGGCAGGAAAAGAGUUGAAACAGACACGUCCCAGGCCUCCAGCCCCUCACACCACGGAGAGGAAACAGAUGCCCGCAAAGGAGGAGGCACCCCUCAGGGGGCCAGCGCUGCGACACGGUGGAGGCAGGGAGGCCGUCUCUAAGCAGCCUGCGAGUCCCCGCGCUGCACCGUGGCUUUGAGGAGUGGCGGGGGCCGAGGGGCCGGUCUCUCUUCCGGGGGAGAUUCCUCCCCUCACCCCGGCAUUACUCAGCGCCCUGAACUGUCUGCCUCCCUCCAGCCGGCCCUCCUCGUCUUCCUGGAGCGCAGCACAAAGGUCCUGUUGUGGCCGCGGCCCGGGCCGCGGGCGAGCCUCUCUGGAUGGUGGUGACUCAGUCUCUUGCCAUUUCCUUUGUGCGGCUCCGGGGCUCCUCGCUGGGAGCGGAGUGUGUCUGCAGGGCUGGGGGCGGGAGCCGGGACCCACAGCCCGACAGCGAGCCUUUCAUGUGGGCAGGGGGCUUCCCGCACGCAAUGCGAACCUACGCCUGGAGCUUCCCAAAGACAGCGUCCGGCGCAGGAACGCGAGAUGCUGGCCGCCUCGCCUCUGGCCCCCGCGAGCAUCAAAGCGCGUGCCGUCGAGGGGGCACGUGUCCCCCAUCGGGCGCGCCUCUGCUCCUAGUCCCCUGAAUGAACACAUCCUUAUGAAAAGUGGAAAUUAGCCGCCGAAGGGAAGGGCCCGGAGAGCUUGGGAAGCGACCUAGGCUGCCAGCCUCCCGGCGGGUCUUUGGUCCCAGCUCUGAUGACCUGUCAGCAGCCGCAGGACCUGCGCUUAAAGGCGCCUCUCCAGGCCUGGCUCAGGGUGGGGCUCCUCGUGCUCAGCACCCUGGUCAAGGUUAGGGCUGGGUGUGCGCUGGAGGCUUGGAGUGCCAGGGCACCCAGUGAAGAGCGAAUGAAUGAACGAGUGAACACCGGACUGGGGGCCUGCAGACGGUUCUUCGCAGGUUAAUUAGAAGGCCUCUAGCAAGCUGCAGCGGAGGCAUUUCAGGCAUCCUUCAGAGAGGACCCUCGGCCUGGCUCCUAAGGGCCCCUGGUCUGGCUCUCACCCCCUGCUCUGGUGGCAUUUCUGCUCACUCAGCCUUUACCCUUUACACGCCAGCCGCUCUGAACAGUUUAUUCUUCUGGGAGCACAUCAUGUUCUUGCUCACAUCCAGGUUUUGCGUAAGCUGUUCCUGCUGCAAGGAAAACCCUUCCUGUGUCCUCCUCAGGUGAGAGCUCCCGCAGGCAGCUUCUCCCCGGAGUCUGGCGUAAGUGUUCCUCCUCUGCACGCCUCUGAGGACAUUUGCAAAGAUGGAAAGAAUCCCAAGAGACCAGUGAAGCAAGAAAUUAUCAAAGCUGCGGUAUUUACGAAGUCACUUUGUGCCAGUGCCCCAGCAAGCUGCCACCAUGGCUGCCAAGCCCUGUCACCCUUGCUGAUCAGUACAGAGAGGGGCUCGCUGCGCUGGGUAGAGGAAGCAGGAAGUUUGCUGAACUCAGACGGAAGAAAAAGGAUUCCUCUGGAGAAUCCCAGCAGGUUUCUGAUUGGACAUGGGUCCAUGUCCUUGUGAAGUCUCCUCCUCCUGAACCUGCCCUGCUCUGUGACUUGCUUUUGACCACCAGCAUGCUGCAGAAGUGAUGCCGUGUGACUUCUGAGUGGGUCAUAGGAAGCCUUGCAGUGUGGCCUGGGUCUUCAGGAAUGCUUGUUUGAGGAAAACCACUGUCAUGUAAGAAGUAUGGCUACCCUGAGACUGUCAUGGUGUGAGGACUCCUAAAUGAGUCACAUGUGGAUGGCCACCUAUUCAGGCCUCAGUUCUUCCAGCCAUUGCGACUGUGGCCCACGCAUGUGGGGGAAGAGGCCAUUUUUCACGCCCAUCCCAGUUGAGUCUUUAGAUGAUCCCUUCCUGGGCCUCCAGCUGACUGUAACCAGACUCCAGGCAGGAACCACAUAGGAACUGAACCCAGUCAACCCACAGGCUGGGGAGGAUGAUAGUCCAUUGUUGUAUAAAGCCACUGCAUUUGGAAUGGUCUGUUGUAUACUACCUAAUCAGAACAAGACUCAAUCCUUUCUUCAUAGCUGGUAGUCUUAAGCAUUUAUUAAUUCAUAUUUUAGUCACAUUAUGAAUUUUCUAUCACAAUAAGCAUUUAUUGAGCACUUUUUAUAGAGGGACUAUGCUAGGCUUGAAGAAUAAAAGACACAUAGGACACGGCCCUGCUUAUGUUCAGGUAGCUGUGGUCUAAACGAGGACGCACACAUAAGGUGAAGACCCCAUGAGAUGGAAUACACGGGGAUAACAAGCCUCACAGUGGACUGGUCGCUUUACCAGGGGUGAGGCGAUUCUGCCUAUAAGGUAGGGAAGGACUUUCUGAAAGGGUGACACUGAGUUCCACCUUGAAAAAUGCCUGAGAAUUCACCCAUAGACACAGUGGAAGAGGGGUGUUCCGAGGAAGGGAGAUCAAUGUGCAGAGAGACAGAAAUCCCGGUUCGCUUAUUCCCAACAAGGCAGAGAACAAACCUCUCCCAGUGAUGCCCUCCCUUGUUCCCGUCCCCAAUCUUUUGAUAAUAGUGGGAAGGGUUUCAAAGUGAGGGUUAAAAAUGGGCUGGUUUUGCCACCCCUUAGUAAGUCUUGGGCAGGAUUCUCAACUCUUGACACUCAUUAAAAUCACCUGGGAAGCUUUUGCAAAACUCCAGCAUGGUACAACUACUUUAGAAACUGGUGUUAUCCAUUAAAACUAAACAUUUGCUUAUCUUAGCAAUUCCACUCCUAGGUUUAUAGAGUAAACAGAAACACAUACGUGCCUGUGUCAAAAAACAUGUAUAGGCAUGUUCAAGACCACACUGUUUGGCCAAGUGCCCUAGUUCAUGCCUGUAAUCCCAGCAUCUUGGGAGGCCAAGGCGGGAGUAUUGCUUGAGGCCAGGAGUUUGAGACCAGCCUGGGCAUCAUAGUGAGACUCCCAUCUUGACACACACACAGUUUUUUUUUUUAAUUAGCUGGGUGUGGUGGCGUGCACCUGUAGUCCUAGCUACUUGGGAGGCUGAGGUGAUAGGAUCCCUUGAGCCCAGAAGUUCAAGGCUGAAAUGAGCUAUGAUUGUGUCACAGCACUCCAGUAUGGGCAACAGAGAGAUCCUAUGUCCAAAACAAAAACAAAAACAAAACAAAAAUACACACAUUAUUUGUAAGAUGUAAAAAAAGGGAACAAUCCAUGUGUAUCAAUAGAAUAGUUAUAUGCUGUGUAUGCGUAAUUAGUGUCUUAACCUGUUCAGGCUGCUGAAUACCUCAACUGGGUAAUUUACAAACAACAGAAUUUAUGGCUCAUGGUUCUAGAGGCUAGGUAGUCUAAGAUGCAAACGUCAACAGAUUUGAUGUCUGGUAAGGCCCUGUUCAUCAUAGAUGGCACCCUUUUGCUGUGUCCUCACAUGGCAAAAGGGACAAACAGGAUUUUUUCAAGCCUCUUUUAUGAGGGUACUAAUUCCAUUUAUGGGGGGAGAGCCUUUGUAACCCAUUCACUUCCUAAAGCCCCCACCACUUAAUACUAUUGGAGAUUAGAUUUCAAUAUAUGAAAUUUGGGUGGGACACAAACAUUCAUACCAUAGCGGGCAGACAAUGUAAUACUAUACAGCAAUGAAAAGAAAUGAACAACAGCGACCCAGAACAACAUGAAUGAACUUUUUUUUUUUUUUUGACAGAGUCUUGCUCUAUUGCCCAGGCUGGAAUGCAGUGACACAAUCUUGGCCCAACCUCCACCUCUUGGGUUCAAGCAAUUCUCCUGCCUCCGCCUUCCGAGUAGCUGGGAUUACAGGCACACGCCACCAUGCCCAGCCAAUUUUUGUAUUUCUAGUAGAGAUGGGGUUUUGCCACGUUGAUCAGGCUGGUCUUGAACUCCUGACCUCGGGUGAUCCGCCUGCCUCAGCCUCCCAAAGUGCUGGGAUUGCAGGCAUGAGCCACUGCGCCAGGCCCAUGAAUGAAUCUUAAAAAUAAAAUAGUGAAUCAAGGAAGUCAGACACAAAGAGUACAUACUCUACGGCUGCAUUUCUAUAAAUAUCAAAAAGAGGCAAAACAAAUGUGUGGUGUUAGAAAUCAGGAGAGUGUUACUAUCCUGGGGAGGAAGGAGAAGACCUGAAGGAACUUGAGGGGGGCUUUGGCCUGCUGGUAGAGCUUUUUUUUUUUUUGUCUCGAUCUAGGUGGUAGUUACAUACGGAUAUUCACGUUGUAAAAGUUUGCCAAGGCUUUAAUGUAAUUAUCUGAUGCAUAUUAUAAUUAAAAUGGAAAGUUUGUUUUAAAAGUACCAGUGCUUGGUCUCCACCCCUAUGGACUCUGGUUUUAUUGCUCUGGGAAGGAGCUC
rnacentral:lncRNA from 10 species